UACGAAGGGGGCUAGCGUUGCUCGGAAUCACUGGGCGUAAAGGGUGCGUAGGCGGGUUUUUAAGUCAGAGGUGAAAUCCUGGAGCUCAACUCCAGAACUGCCUUUGAUACUGAAAGUCUUGAGUAUGGGAGAGGUGAGUGGAACUGCGAGUGUAGAGGUGAAAUUCGUAGAUAUUCGCAAGAACACCAGUGGCGAAGGCGGCUCACUGGCCCAUUACUGACGCUGAGGCACGAAAGCUAGGGGAGCAAACAGGAGUUAAGAAACC
rnacentral:rRNA from 1 species